CAGACAGACAGACAGAUUGACAAACGUUCAUUUUAUUAUUGGAUAUUAAUCAUUUAAAUACUAAAUAAUAAUAAUAAUAAGUAGGUAUGUAGUGAAAAAACAGCCACAUUGCACUGGAGGACGACGUCAACACGCAAACGGCCGACGUAAUUGCGGGACCAAUUUCGCGCGGAUGCCCAAAUCUACGUGACACUCAAUGUGUUAAAGGAAAUUAAAAACUAUUACAAUUUACAAUGUAUUCAAAAUAUAUUAAUCAUGCAAAUAUACGAACCUCCAAAGGAAGAUAUAUAUGAUUAUGUUUCUCUCCAACAUGAAGACAUGGUGGAGAAAAAAAUGACUUGCCAACUGAUGUGUAAGUCAUUGAUGCAAGAUGUCGCAUGACAACAUCUAAGGCCUAGGUACAUAAAAAAUAUUGGAAAUCAAACUAAAUAAUAAACAAUAAGUCAUAAAUUAUUAAUAAAAGUAAGUAGAAUAAGAUGAAUUAACCAAAACAGCAUCAUAUGGUAUUGGUCUUCUGCUGCCUUGUAAUGCUUCUUCCAAAUCAAAUAAUGAUAUUUGAGCUAACCAUUUAAUAUAAACAUGGAACACUCCAUCUUUACAUUGACCGGGCAAUUUAACCUGAAACGCAAUGGAUCUCUUGUAUAUAAGUUUUGGCGACCAUCAAAUGCAGGACGAAGAUUACCAAAAAGUUUACUGUACGCAUUA